UACGUAGGCAGCAAGCGGUUGUUCGGAAUUACUGGGCGUAAAGAGUGUGUAGGCGGUGCUCUAAGUUCGGUGAUGAAUCUCCCGGCUCAACUGGGAGGGUGCGCCGAAAACUGGGGUGCUGGAGCGCGGGAGAGGAAAGCGGAAUUCCUGGUGUAGCGGUGAAAUGCGUAGAUAUCGGGAAGAACACCCGUGGCGAAGGCGGCUCUCUGGGACGGUACUGGACGCUGAGACGCGAAAGCGUGGGGAGCGAACAGGG
rnacentral:rRNA from 1 species